ACGUGUUUUGGAGUGGAGACCGCGUACCAGCAAGCGACGAUCUCUGACCCACUGGACUGGCUAUCUUAAGAAAAUCGCAGGAAAGGGGGUGGAUGAGGAAGGCCGCGUGUGGCGGCGCGCUCUCGGAAAGGUCUAUGUCCAGAAGUAGCUGAAUGAUUGAACAUCCUUAUUUUAUAAUUCGGGAAACCUAGUUGGCCUUUUGAAAUUAUAUUUAGCCAAAUAUGAAAUUAUAUUUAGUCUUGAAUGUGAGCCAAAUUCUAAAGUAGGACAAGAAAAACGAAUGUCAUUUACAUAUUACUUUGUUAUAUAAAACAAAGACGCAAUUUUUAGUUUAAAAUAUUUACGAUACAUCGAGUUGGUUAUGCGCAAGACGGAAAAUUGUGAAAGGAAAAUAAAAUUAUUUUAACCUAUAACUGCUAAAUUUCAAUAUAUUAUUUGUAUGCAAAUUUAUUUUAUUGCACUUUUAUUGAUUACAUUUGCGAAACGGUUGGGUAUAUAACAACUUCUUAUCAUAACUACUUUAGAAACUGUGACAUGAACAGGAUGCCGAAAAAAUCCAAAACGCACAGCUACCGCUACCCAGCUUAAAACUACCACAUAUUUUGUCCUCGAAAUUAGAGACCCUAAUUUAUGGUUGAGUUUUUAUAAUUAGAUUAACUUAUUAGUGUGUUGAUCACAAAAAUGGUAUCCAUUUUCAAAUUCGAAAUAGUGGACACACAUUAAAUAAAUUCACAGUA